rnacentral:rRNA from 1 species
UACGGAGGGGGCUAGCGUUGUUCGGAAUUACUGGGCGUAAAGCGCACGUAGGCGGAUUUGCAAGUCAGGGGUGAAAUCCCGGGGCUCAACCUCGGAACUGCCUUUGAUACUGCAAAUCUCGAGUCCGGAAGAGGUGAGUGGAAUUCCUAGUGUAGAGGUGAAAUUCGUAGAUAUUAGGAAGAACACCAGUGGCGAAGGCGGCGAUCUGGACAGAUACUGACACUCAACUACGAAAGCGUGGGGAGCAAACAGG